rnacentral:rRNA from 1 species
ACAAAAAUGCACAUGCUGUGAGCUCGAUGAGUAGGGCGGGACACGUGGUAUCCUGUCUGAAUAUGGGGGGACCAUCCUCCAAGGCUAAAUACUCCUGACUGACCGAUAGUGAACCAGUACCGUGAGGGAAAGGCGAAAAGAACCCCGGCGAGGGGAGUGAAAAAGAACCUGAAACCGUGUACGUACAAGCAGUGGGAGCACAGAGCAAUCUGUGUGACUGCGUACCUUUUGUAUAAUGGGUCAGCGACUUAUAUUCUGUAGCAAGGUUAACCGAAUAGGGGAGCCGAAGGGAAACCGAGUCUUAACUGGGCGUUAAGUUGCAGGGUAUAGACCCGAAACCCGGUGAUCUAGCCAUGGGCAGGUUGAAGGUUGGGUAACACUAACUGGAGGACCGAACCGACUAAUGUUGAAAAAUUAGCGGAUGACUUGUGGCUGGGGGUGAAAGGCCAAUCAAACCGGGAGAUAGCUGGUUCUCCCCGAAAGCUAUUUAGGUAGCGCCUCGUGAAUUCAUCUCCGGGGGUAGAGCACUGUUUCGGCAAGGGGGUCAUCCCGACUUACCAACCCGAUGCAAACUGCGAAUACCGGAGAAUGUUAUCACGGGAGACACACGGCGGGUGCUAACGUCCGUCGUGAAGAGGGAAACAACCCAGACCGCCAGCUAAGGUCCCAAAGUCAUGGUUAAGUGGGAAACGAUGUGGGAAGGCCCAGACAGCCAGGAUGUUGGCUUAGAAGCAGCCAUCAUUUAAAGAAAGCGUAAUAGCUCACUGGUCGAGUCGGCCUGCGCGGAAGAUGUAACGGGGCUAAACCAUGCACCGAAGCUGCGGCAGCGACGCUUAUGCGUUGUUGGGUAGGGGAGCGUUCUGUAAGCCUGCGAAGGUGUGCUGUGAGGCAUGCUGGAGGUAUCAGAAGUGCGAAUGCUGACAUAAGUAACGAUAAAGCGGGUGAAAAGCCCGCUCGCCGGAAGACCAAGGGUUCCUGUCCAACGUUAAUCGGGGCAGGGUGAGUCGACCCCUAAGGCGAGGCCGAAAGGCGUAGUCGAUGGGAAACAGGUUAAUAUUCCUGUACUUGGUGUUACUGCGAAGGGGGGACGGAGAAGGCUAUGUUGGCCGGGCGACGGUUGUCCCGGUUUAAGCGUGUAGGCUGGUUUUCCAGGCAAAUCCGGAAAAUCAAGGCUGAGGCGUGAUGACGAGGCACUACGGUGCUGAAGCAACAAAUGCCCUGCUUCCAGGAAAAGCCUCUAAGCAUCAGGUAACAUCAAAUCGUACCCCAAACCGACACAGGUGGUCAGGUAGAGAAUACCAAGGCGCUUGAGAGAACUCGGGUGAAGGAACUAGGCAAAAUGGUGCCGUAACUUCGGGAGAAGGCACGCUGAUAUGUAGGUGAAGUCCCUUGCGGAUGGAGCUGAAAUCAGUCGAAGAUACCAGCUGGCUGCAACUGUUUAUUAAAAACACAGCACUGUGCAAACACGAAAGUGGACGUAUACGGUGUGACGCCUGCCCGGUGCCGGAAGGUUAAUUGAUGGGGUUAGCGCAAGCGAAG